AUUGAACGCUGGCGGCAUGCUUUACACAUGCAAGUCGAACGGCAGCACGGGGGCGAACCCUGGUGGCGAGUGGCGAACGGGUGAGUAACACAUCGGAACGUGUCCAGUUGUGGGGGAUAACCCAUCGAAAGGUGGGCUAAUACCGCAUGAGCUGGCAACAGGAAAGCGGGGACCCGCAAGGGCCUUGUGCGAUUGGAGCGGCCGAUGUCCGAUUAGCUAGUUGGUGGGGUAAAGGCCUACCAAGGCUUCGAUCGGUAGCUGGUCUGAGAGGAUGAUCAGCCACACUGGGACUGAGACACGGCCCAGACUCCUACGGGAGGCAGCAGUGGGGAAUUUUGGACAAUGGGGGCAACCCUGAUCCAGCCAUGCCGCGUGAGUGAUGAAGGCCUUAGGG
rnacentral:rRNA from 1 species